GUAGGGGAUGGAGCUAGCCUCCUCCCCGCCCCCAAAAUCUCGGCGACGUGCGGACACUUGGCCCUGCAGCGAUGUGCUGGACGGCCAAGCUACGGGUCCAGCGCCGUCAAGGUCGAGGGUCACAUCGAAUGCCGUGAUCGAAAGCGUGGAUUCCCCGCGUGGCGAAGAGACUCGGAUGCAAUCUGGAUUACGAUCGGUGCCUUCGAACGACGUCCGCGUCGGAGCGAGAGGUCCCUGCUCGGUUGUAGUUCAUCCCCCGUUGAGAUUUCAUGGCCCGAUCGCGUGCGCGGCGCUGUGCCAGGGAUCCGUCGUUUCGACGACGGCAAGUCGGGACUGCCGCAACCCCCCGUUGCCUUGCCCAGGUGUGUUAACUCGUCGCUUGGAGCGUUCUAUGUUUAGGAUGGGUGCACUCGCAUGAUUUGCGGGGCAGGGGCCCCGUCCGAUGACACGGCUCUCCCAUGCGUUGACUCCCACCUUUGCGAGGUGAAUGGGGCGGGGACACACCACAGCGUUCCUCGUCGCACCCAUUGGGUGCUCGGGGUUCGGGAUGUGUCAACACCCAACACACGGGUGCGCAUCGCGCACCUUAGAAAUCCAAAGAAUGAAGCGCGGUCUAGCGCCUUGCGCGCUUGGGUCGCCGAAGGACAAAAACAUAACAAAAUCACGACUCUCGGCAACGGAUAUCUCGGCUCUCGCCACGAUGAAGAAUGUAGCGAAAUGCGAUACUUAGUGUGAAUUGCAGAAUCCCGUGAAUCAUCAAGUCUUUGAACGCAAGUUGCGCCCGAGGCCUCGGCCAAGGGCACGUCUGCUUGGGCGUCGCACUACAAAAUUGCCCUCCCCAGCGAGGAGCGGAGAUGGCCGUCCGUGUCUGCAAGUGGCGCGGUCGGCUGAAAUGAGCACGAGGUCCGUCGGUCCGUCGCGACGAGCGGUGGCUCCCAAAGGCCGGCGUUGGUUUGCGCUGAUCGAACGAUUCCUCGCGAGGAACUUUAUUCUGGGUCCAGCGGCCCGCCGCAGUGCGGGCAUGCUGUAUCUCUACCG
rnacentral:rRNA from 1 species